GACGAACGCUGGCGGCGUGCCUAACACAUGCAAGUCACGGGGGCCCGCAAGGGCAACCGGCGAACGGGUGCGUAACACGUGAGCAAUUUGCCGAUUUCUGGGGGAUAGCCGGUCCAACGACCGGGUAAUACCGCAUACGCUCAUCGGGGGGCAUCCCCUGGUGAGGAAAGCUCCGGCGGAAAUCGAGAAGCUCGCGUCCUAUCAGCUAGUUGGUGCGGUCACGGCGCACCAAGGCGACGACGGGUAGCUG
rnacentral:rRNA from 1 species